rnacentral:SRP_RNA from 1 species
GCUGGGCAUGGUGGCACAUGCCUGUAGUCCUAGUUACUUGGGAGGUUAAGGCAGGAGGAUCACUUGAGCCCAAGAGUUCAAGAGUGCAGUCAGCCAUGAUUGCGCCACUGCCCUCUAGCCUGGGCAACAGAGUGAGCCCCUGUCUCAA